GACGAACGCUGGCGGCGUGCUUAACACAUGCAAGUCGAGCGGUAAGGCCCUUCGGGGUACACGAGCGGCGAACGGGUGAGUAACACGUGAGCAACCUGCCCCUGACUCCGGGAUAAGCGGUGGAAACGCCGUCUAAUACCGGAUACGACCCCUCCACCUCAUGGUGGAGGGUGGAAAGUUUUUCGGUCAGGGAUGGGCUCGCGGCCUAUCAGCUUGUUGGUGGGGUAACGGCCUACCAAGGCGAUUACGGGUAGCCGGCCUGAGAGGGCGACCGGCCACACUGGGACUGAGACACGGCCCAGACUCCUGCGGGAGGCAGCAGUGGGGAAUAUUGCGCAAUGGGCGAAAGCCUGACGCAGCGACGCCGCGUGGGGGAUGACGGCCCUUUCGGGUUGUAAAC
rnacentral:rRNA from 1 species